UUUCCAAAGUUGAACAUCACUUGUUAUGAUUUUGUUUUCAAAUCUGUGCUCAGUAUAACACAGAUGAACAGUCUGUAGGGGGCAGUGUUGAUCCAGCAAAGUAAACUCCUCCUGACAGGAUAAAUGUCUCUUUCUGUCUGACUGGAGUCUGAGAUCAGGUUUCAGUCAGUCAUUGCGUGUUGAAGGCGCUGUUUUGCACAGGAUGACUUCAGAGGAGCCCUGUGUGUGUGUUUCCGUGAUGUGGGACAGUAAAUCAUCGUUCAGACCCUCACGGACCUCCGGCGUCAAACCCCUCACGUGUUUCUGACGGUGAACUUCAGCAAUCUUCGUGUGAAUUGAAAGCGGAAGUUUAGCUUGGCGCCAUUAAUGCAGACAGUUGCAGCUAAUGCAUUUGGCUCACAGCUAAUGGACAUGGGCAGCAUUUCCAGAGAGAGCUGAGCGUGAUGCUCUGGAAUGCCGCAUCUGACCUUUGACCCUUGACCCACUUUAUUGAGAUCAUGUGAACAAGAGAGAAGGAAAAAUAAAGGAUAACACAAAGUCGUGGUGAAGAAAAUGAGGUCAGACAGAAGAUGAAGGAAACCCGAGUGAUUUCUGAACCGUUAACGGUCCAGCCGUUCUCAGUGGAGCAUCACAUGAUCGGAGGUGUGUGGAAGACAUGAGCGUCGCAACCUUCACCGCAUGUGUUGAAGCCACUGCGUGUCCUUCAUCUCCAGCCAAACUGUUUGCAACAAAAAUCAUCCCAUUCCUACUGAAGCCUGUUUCUGCCACAGGAUAUAAACGAAAGGAGAGAUGCGGCGACUGAACGAGGCGGUUUGCUUCCCAACAUCAGCGGCAGCUGGAAGAGCGAAGUCGAGUCUAGAGAGCAUAUUCAUCAUUCGCUCUCCCAACACAAAGACGGGCCUUGUCUUCGGCCCAACAGACUUCAGCGCUUCUCCUCUCCGCACGUCCCAUAGGAGAUUCACUUUCCAGAGCAUGGAAGGAGUGAAACAGGCACAGAAGAAUAACCUUUAGCAGCUGCUGGAGACACGAUGGGCGUCUCGCUGCUAAUGGAGUCAUUCGGGACUGAAACCGACUGAACUCCUGCCAGACGCCAAAGCAGAAAGAGAGUCACUCAGAAGCGAUUGCUAACUUCAUUCACUAGCAUGUUUUUUUUUUGGAUGAAUUGCAUGGAGUACCGUGUAAAUAAAUACAAAUUGCAAUAUAACAAAUUGCAAUGUAACAAUUUUUUAAACAAAUGAAUGACUAAAUUAAUGAAAUGUAACAAAUUUUUGAAAAUAAACAAA